rnacentral:lncRNA from 1 species
UUUAUAUAUUAGGUACAUCACACCCGUUUGCAACUGUCAAUGUAAAUACAUGGAGGUUAAAUAUCUUUAUAGCUCACUAAGUGGAUGAGAUAUGAUAAUACAUGUAUAUAUUCAAGCGAAGAUAAAGUUACAUUCUUAAAUUUACAACGACAUAUUAACAUCUGAUAACACAUCAAUGGUACAUGGAAAUAAAGUCAGAUUCCUGGAUUUAAAUCUCGAUGAAAGCGGAAUUUUACAGUAAUCAUUUAAAUUUCUUUCCAACUACGAGUACUGAUAUGGAAUUUAGAAAGUAGUCAGCGAGCGUGCUUUACGUAUAAGCACAGCAGAUAUGAAAAGAUGGUGUUUUUGACUUUAAGAACCAAUUUAAGGUAGAACAGAAAAUGUUGCAUGAUAACCCAAAUUAAAGAAGCCACAAAAUCCUGUAUGGAACAUUGACAAAAGCAGUUCUAAUUUCCGUGAGUGUUUUGUUUCCUUGAAGUGCAUAUACAAAAUCAGAAAGACACAAAAUAUCAGACGAGCAUAAUUAUAAUAUUACCACGAGGGCUACAGAAAUAAAGAUUCAUUACGAAGAUGUGACACAAGUUUUAGACAAGGAACAUGGAAGUUUAUACAAUGUAACGGACAAUAUGCCAGGAAAAGAAACAAAUGAUCAGACUGCCAGGUCAGAUGAUACUGACAAGCUUAAUGUUACAACUACUGAAUCGCUUAUUCACAGUGACGGGUGACCCUUAUCUCUACGGAAACAUGUUGCAGCUUUCAGAGAGUCAUCACAGCACUAACUCAAGCGAAGAAAAUAUGACAAUUUCUGUUAACAACGAUUCUUUCACAUCCGAAACAUUAACUACGCAAGAUACAAAUACAUGUAAAAGUGAAACUUUGUUUUCUGAAAAGGUGCUGAAUCGAAGUAAACACAUUGUCAAUAUUCCAUAUUACAUAGGUAAUAGUGACGAUCUAGUUCGGACGUUGAUGUUAGAACGAAAGAAAAUACACUUGCAGCAUCAUUUGCAAUUAGUGCCAAUGGAGGACAAACCUUUGAAUGCAAUGAUGAUAAAGGUAUGGUUUAGAGAUUUCACAAUAACUUCGAUAUUCCUGAAUGUUUCGUUACACAUGACAUGAAGCAUACAGUUCGUAAGUAAUACUAAACAACUAAACUUCCUAAUGCAACAGAACUCAGCCUGGAAUCGUUUAAGACAAGCACAUGCGCACUGAUGCAAAUGUUCCUCUUUUAUUUGAAUAAGAUGUCCUGCCAGUAAAACAUUAAAUGUAAGAAAUACAUGUACAUUUGGCAAAUACUGCAUCUGACUAUCUCAAUAAGUUUCACUUAUUAAAGUGUUGUUUGUCGUGGCACGCAUGAUAUAUACUGUGAAUUAUAUUUCAUAUUCCGAAUUAUAAUGACAAAAAUAAUUCCACUCAUGUAUGUAUGAAUAAUAUAUAAUAUAAUAUCGGAUAAUAUCAGCAUUUCAAAAUUCAUGCCUUUUAUAACAUAUUUAAAGCAAUGACAACGGCACCACUUACUUUAUAUUUCCAUAAUAAUUUAGAUGUGACUUUAUGUUCAAGUGAAGAGAAACAAAGCUGAAUAAAAUGUUUUUGGACGAUAAUGCAGUCAACGUACAAAUAAUGAAUACCUUCAGUUGCCCGUGAAAUUCAUUCGACACUUUGAAAAUAAGUUGAACUUUUUUGCUUCAUUUAUUUCUCAUACAACACGCCUCCAUACUUAUGAUGGCAAUAUCUUCGCUUCAAAAUCUGCAGAAUUGUAGUCUAUUUUAGUUUGCAAAAAGUAUUUCCCUGCUAUAUAUGCAUGAAAGUAAAGAACAGUGAAAUCUCUUUACAGUGAGCAUCACUGGAAAGACAAAAAUAUAUGUGUUGUUAAAUGGUAAUCGUUCUGGGAAGGUUAAGUUACUAUCUAAUGGAAAGGAAAAUAUCUGUCUUUAAAGAGGGGUGUUUGCCUUUUAGAGGCGCCGUAAUACCCCAGUCACACAUACGGUGCGGAUAGCU